UAGGGAAUCUUCCGCAAUGGACGAAAGUCUGACGGAGCAACGCCGCGUGAGUGAAGAAGGAUUUCGGUUCGUAAAACUCUGUUGUUAGGGAAGAAAAAAUGUAUAGUAACUAUAUACAAAAGAGACGGUACCUAACCAGAAAGCCACGGCUAACUACGUGCCAGCAGCCGCGGUAAUACGUAGGUGGCAAGCGUAGUCCGGAAUUAUUGGGCGUAAAGCGCGCGCAGGUGGUUAGAAAAGUCUGAAGUGAAAGGCAGUGGCUCAACCAUUGUAGGCAUUGGAAACUGUUUAACUUGAGUGCAGAAGGGGAGAGUGGAAUUCCAUGUGUAGCGGUGAAAUGCGUAGAUAUAUGGAGGAACACCGGUGGCGAAAGCGGCUCUCUGGUCUGUAACUGACGCUGAGGCUCGAAAGCGUGGGGAGCGAACAGG
rnacentral:rRNA from 1 species